AUUGAACGCUGGCGGCAGGCCUAACACAUGCAAGUCGAGCGACGGGCGGCUGGGUGAGUAAUGGAAGGGUAUCCGCCAGAUAGUGGGGGAUAACUAAUGGCCACGGUGGCUAAGAACGCACAUUGACGGGUCGACCUAUAUUGGAAUAGCUGGUAGGUAAGGUAAUGGCUUACCUAGGCGACGAUCCCUAGCUUGUCUGAGCGGAUGAUCAGCCACACUGGGACUGAGACACGGCCCAGACACCUACGGGAGGCAGCAAUGGGGAAUAUUGCACAAUUGGCGCAAGCCUGAUGCAGCCAAGCCGCGUGUAUGGAGAAGGCCCUAGGGUUGUAAAAUACUUUCAGUCGGGAAGCGUUUCCGACAGAAGAAGCACCGGCUAACUCCGUGCCAACGGCCGCGGUAAUAC
rnacentral:rRNA from 1 species